AUCAAAAAUUGAAAAUGAUUUAAAAUGGAAAACAAAUGACUGUGCCUCAUCUAAAGAGACUAUUAGAAUUAUUUCAAAGUGAUUUUGAGUCAAUAGGUCACAUGACCUGGAAGCUAUUGAAGAAAAACACUCAAUUUUGAAGAAAAAAAUUCCUAAAAAAUGGAAAAUGAUUUAAAAUGGAAAACAAAUGUCUGUGCCUCAUCUAAAGAGACUAGUAUAAUUAUUUCAAAGUGAUUUUGAGUCAAUAGGUCAAAUGACCUGGAAGCUAUUGAAGAAAACAUUAUAUUAUUUAAUAUUAAAAUUAUUGAAAAUAUUGUAUAUGACUUUAAAAUUUUAUAGAUGCUAUUUUGGCUCAUGUAAAAGCAUGAAUUAGCACUGACAAUUAGUUAGUUGGUUACAAUUCAAGGCAUUUAUUAACAUUUCUUUGACAGGAAUGUUUGGUUCGGUAAUUUGUUGAUAGUCCCUAAGUGAACCUUCGGGCGCUGCGGCCGGGAGCGGUGGAGAACCGCUGGCCGAGAGUAGCGUUCAUAAAUCGGAUCAACCUUGAGCUAAACGCCGCUUACUCCGCGGAGCUCGAAUAUCGAAUAUCCAACUUGAAACUAACUUCACUGCGGUGAAUUACCUUCAUUAGCACUGGAUGAGAGCACGGACGUGCAGGACACCGCGCAGCUGCUCAUUUUUAUUUGUGGAGUUACUGCAAACUUUGAGAUGUGCGAGGAGCUGGCAGCCCUCCAAAGUCUCAAAGGGACUACGACGGGGGAGGAUAUUUUUGGCAAAGUGUACCAAACCAUGGAAGAGUUGGACCUGGACUGGUCAAAGCUGGCCAGCAUCACAACUGACGGGGCUCCCAAUAUGGUGGGCAUGUCUCGGGGUCUAAUAGGACACAUGAACCGGGAGAUUGAAGAACGAGGUCUCACUGCCCCGCUACAAGUCCACUGCCUAAUUUACCAGCAAGCACUGUGCUGCAAAGUGUUGACGUGGAAUUCUGUCAUGAAGGUUGUGGAGGCAUGCAUAAACUUCAUCAGAGCAAAGGGACUUAAACACAGGCAGUUCCAAGAAUUCCUGUCUGAACUGGAAUCUGCGCACGGAGAUGUGCUGUACUACACAGAGGUCCGAUGGUUGAGUCGGGGCGGAGUUUUGAGGCACUUUUAUGAGCUGCUACCUGAAAUUAACCAUUUCUUCAUUCACAAAACAAAAUGGUGCCAGAGCUGAUCGACCCAAAAUGGAAAUGGCACCUCACAUUUUUAACAGACAUGACAGAAAUGCUGAACAGCUUUAACUUGCAGCUACAAGGCCAGGGGAAACUCAUUUGUGAAAUGUAUUCCCACAUCAAAGCAUUUGAGGUGAAACUAGAGCUGCUUCUGGGACAAAUGAAAAACACAGUUUUAUUCAUCUCCCUGCUAUACAAAAUCUCUCUGCAGAGAACCCAGCGGUCCCUUUUCCACCUGAAAAGUGUGUGGAAGCACUGUAAAUGCUAAAGCCGGAGUUCAGUGUGCGAUUCCUUGAACUACAUAUUUAUGCAAAAGUAAUACGUCUUUUCCAGAACCCCUUUGUUGCCGACAUUGAUGAAGCCCAGCCUUCUUAUCAGUUUGAGUUGGCCGAGUUACAGAACUGUGAUGACGUGACGUGUUCAAGCCCAACAGUCUCAUUGACUUCUAUGCCGCCCUCUCAAACGACACGAACCCCAACAUCAGAAAACACGCAAUGAAGAUGUCCACACUUUUUGGCAGCACGUAUAUCUGCGAGCAAACCUUUUCCCGUAUGGAACUGCUGACAACUUCAAUGAGAUCAAGAUCGACAGAUGAACGUCUGCAUCAGUGUUUGGGACUGGCAGUGACUAGAAUGGAACCUGACAUCCAACUUCUCACCAGCCAGAUGCAGGCCCACAGUUCACACUGAUGAACGUACAAAGGGAAGUUGAUGAGAGAGAGAGCUGCAAACAGCGAUGUCUACAGUACAAGCUAUUGGAACCUACAAAAAGAUUAUAAGGAAGGAACACAAGAACUUUGAGAGCUGCUCAUAUGAGCCAUUUAAAAACGCUGAACGCAGCGAACCCAGACGACGCUGGAUGCUGAUUGGCUGACGGGUCGCAGUCCGACUCCGCAGGAGAACAGCCUACUGGGC